rnacentral:rRNA from 1 species
GUCCACGCCCUAAACGAUGUCAACUAGGUGUUGGGUGGGUAAAACCAUUUAGUACCGGAGCUAACGCGUGAAGUUGACCGCCUGGGGAGUACGGCCGCAAGGUUAAAACUCAAAGGAAUUGACGGGGACCCGCACAAGCGGUGGAUGAUGUGGAUUAAUUCGAUGCAACGCGAAAACCUUACCUACCCUUGACAUGUCCAGAAGCCCCGAAGAGAUUUGGGUGUGCCCGAAAGGGAGCUGGAACACAGGUGCUGCAUGGCUGUCGU